rnacentral:misc_RNA from 1 species
AAGUCGUAACAAGGUUUCCGUAGGUGAACCUGCGGAAGGAUCAUUAUAAAAUUUUCAUAUAUUAUUUAUUUAAUAUAUAAAAUUAUACAAAAAUGUAUUCAAAACCCACACUCUUUAUAACCAUAAAAAAACAUUAUAUCUUGUAUAUAAUAUAAAAAAACAACUUUCAACAACGGAUCUCUUGGCUCUC